rfam:Ochrobactrum pseudogrignonense strain K8 chromosome 1, complete sequence.
CCUGGUGGUUAUGGCGGAGCGGCUGCACCCGAUCCCAUUCCGAACUCGGCCGUGAAACGCUCCAGCGCCAAUGGUACUUUGUCUUAAGACACGGGAGAGUAGGUCGCUGCCAGGU